CGAUAGCGGAUAGUACCGUGAGGGAAUGGUGAAAAGUACCGCGGGAGCGGAGUGAAAUAGUACCUGAAACCGUGUGCCUACAAGCCGUGGGAGCGUCGGACACAAGCUUGCUUGUGUCUCGUGACUGCGUGCCUUUUGAAGAAUGAGCCUGCGAGUUUGCGGUGUGUUGCGAGGUUAACCCGUGUGGGGAAGCCGUAGCGAAAGCGAGUCCGAACA
rnacentral:ncRNA from 2 species